rnacentral:snRNA from 1 species
UGACUCUGGUUUUCCUUCAUUACGCACAAGCCUCGCCUUUACUAAAGACUUCCGUGGAGGGAACACUUACGAGUUCAACGUAUUUUUGGAGCGGCUUUGCUUCUGCAGAGCC